rnacentral:lncRNA from 1 species
GCGUUACAAAAUAUGUACCUGUUGAUGUUUAUUGUCACUUUUCAUUGAUUAAGAAUAACCGAUUUUCCCCGAGUCUCUUUCAUUAACGAUGAUAAUAACAAGGAAAGCGCACAAUUCUUGGUCACAUGGAUUGAUGGAAUAUGAGGCAGUUCUUUUUGUAAACUAAACAUUAUUAUACACGCGGAAGUUUCUCGAAUUGUUCAAGGUCUGCAUGUUUGGUCUCCGGUACAGAAAUGUUGUUGGACACACCUUUCUCUAAGUUUUUCCUGCAUUGAUUUCUCUGUGCAAUAGAAGCGUUAGAAGCGCGAACGCGCGGCGAGCGCGGACACUUAGCGGCGCGAGCCCUGUCGCGCGGCGCCUCGCUCUCCGUCGGACACUGCGGAGGGGGGGUUCCGGGGUGUCCUCAGUGCCACUAAGGCUUUCCUCCAUUAGGGAACAAGGCCCGCCAUUGUGGCAGCGAGUGCGAUGCUGUCGGAGAUGGAACCCCCAGGAGCUGCUCAGGUGCAACCAGAGUCCGGAACAGAAUGAAAAGGCCAUCUUGGACAUCGGGGUGACCCACCUGAGACAGUUUGUGACACGCCGCUGAUUUCUGUCAGACUCCUGGAACAAAUUGGUGCUGUGCUGUUAUUGUAAAGUUUCCCCACUCGUGUGCUUGUUGUUGAACGUGGUACUUGCCCUCUGCAGCACAUCCUAUACGUUUUUAAGGCUCCCAGAAGGCAGCUCGAACCUUGCGCCCUCCCAGUCUGCUGCCUUGGCUGGCCCGCGCUGUGCUAAUAGGCCCCGUUUUGUUAUUCCGGCGCACCUGAUAAUUCACUAAUACAGCACAGAUAUGGGACUUAAGCGUAUUGAUAAUGAUUCAGUACCAUUCAUUUAUUUUGUGCAUUUUUCAAAACUAUAUCUUUCAGUGCCACAACUCCACAGACCCUCUGUUACACUAAACUGCAGAAAUUAAUGCAUUACUGUACUGCUAAAAAAACAAAGUUAAAAAACACUUUUUUGAUUUAUUUUCAUAUUCAUAUUCAACUUCCACAAGUAGUCUUUCAUUUUAUUCACUUUUGUUGAAUUAUUAUUAUUAAACAUGAUAUAAUUGCAC